AAUUCACCUGAGACGUGUACGGCUACCUGCUGAACUUAAGCAUAUCAGUAAGCAGA
rnacentral:rRNA from 1 species